rnacentral:misc_RNA from 1 species
UUUCCGUAGGUGAACCUGCGGAAGGAUCAUUAUUGAAUGAAACACUUCUGGCUUUAUGCUGUUGUGCUGGCCCCUUUGGGCAAUGUGCACACGGCUCUGGUCACUUGUUUCUUCUGUUCCACCUGUGCACUGCCUGUAGACACGCUGUGUCUAUGAUAUUUGUUAACACACAACAAUGUUAGUUGGCAUGUUAUAUAUAAUAAUAAAAUAUACAACUUUCAACAACGGAUCUCUUGGCUCUC